ACACACACACCAGCCUGUCUGCUGUAAGAAAACAAAGGUGAUGAUGUCGAUACGGCACCAGGGUAACAUGACUAUAUGAAGACACAUUAUGAGACAGAGUCUUCAGGUGAGACACACUGAGCUCCUGAUAGGUGUGACGUCGUCUGUAAAACCUGGUUGUCAUGGUGAUAAAAGGUGUGAUAACUUGGAGAUGGAGGAGGAGCUGUUUGGUGUCAGCAGUGUGCGUUCGCCAUAAUUCUUCUCCUGGUUAGUUUUGAACAUUACGUCUCCAUGGUAACCAAAAAACAACAACAACACAACUUGCGGUACAAACUAAGUUGCCACACCAGAACUUAAGACACAACUGACAAACAGCUGCUGACACAGGAAGAGGAUGGUGUGCUCAGGUGAGCUCAGGUGUUAUCGUGUCCUCAGGUGUGCUCAGGUGUUAUCGUGUCCUCAGGUGUGCUCAGGUAUGCUCAGGUGUUAUCGUGUCCUCAGGUGUUAUUGUGUCCUCAGGUGUCCUCAGGUGUUAUCGUGUCCUCAGGUGUGCUCAGGUGUUAUCGUGUCCUCAGGUGUCAUCGUGUCCUCAGGUGUCCUCAGGUGUUAUCGUGUCCUCAGGUGUUAUCGUGUCCUCAGGUGUUAUCGUGUCC